GGCCCUGUGUCGCUCAGUUGGUAAGAGUGUGGCACUAACAAUGCCAGGGUAGCGGGUUCUAUUCCCGCUGGAGCCA